GGAGGAAGUAAAAGUCGUAACAAGGUUUCCGUAGGUGAACCUGCGGA
rnacentral:rRNA from 1 species